UAGUAACACAUGUCCCUGUUGUGAAAUGCAGUUGAGUUUAGAGCUCCAUCUGUUCCCAGACUUGAAAAGUCCAGGGUUUUCUCAAAACCAUUGCAAAAGAUUUGUGUGUUGUACCAACACAAUGCAGAUAUUUUAUAAGCACUGGGUCAAAUAAUCAUUGAUAAAUAAAUCCCUAUCCUUAUAACCAAAAUAAUUUAAAGUAGUAAGAAAGCUCCAACCUUCAACAAAAUACCAUUGUCUCCUAAUACACUGUCACUAUUUAUCUUUUCAGAUGCAUCAUUUAUCUUAUGAAAAUAGAGUAAUAAGCCAAUAGCCAGUUUUCCCAAUCUGCAAGGAUAUUUUCAGGAUUUUGUCCUUGACAAAGUGGGGUUCAGCCAUUGGGAAACCCCAGAGUGCGAUCUGAGACAUGGGGGAGAGGAGAACAACAAGACCCUGGACUCCUGUAGAAUCUGUAACACCAGCAUAUCCUCAAAUCAGGAAAAUAAAAGAUUUUUGUUCGCUCUUCAGUUGAAGAUGUUCACUGCUACAGUCAAGAUGGACCUGCAUUAUCUUAGAAGUUAACCUGGUAGUGGAGUGUGAUGCCAAAAGGCUGACUCUAGAGCCAGUGGGCGUGGUUUCAGACUCUUGACCCAUCACUUACUAGCUUUGUGACUCUGGGAAAGUUAAUUCUCUGAGUGCCUCAUCUUGUUAUUGCUUAAGUGGAAUAAUGUCUAUUUCAAAAGGUCAUUGUGAAGAUUAAAUGAGUUAAUACAGAUAGGUCUCAAAACAAUGUCUGUAACACAGCAUAAAGUAUUACUGUUAUUAUUAAGUGUUGGGAAAUGAAGAAGAGUACCUGCAUAAAUAAUUCAGAUAAACCACCAAAUCACAUAAUUUUUCAGACUCUGCAAACUCAUGUAAAUGUCAACGUGACCAAAAUAAAAAUUACAUCAUUUCAAAGUGUUACAAUGAUUGGCUAAAAAAGCCGAAUUUUGUGUCUGUGAAAAGGGGGUGGGAUGGGGUGGAGAGAAACUGUACAUGACUUUAACCAGCUGUGAGCUCAUUUAUUUUUUCUGCCCUUGGCAGACACAAAGAAAUGACUAAUUUGAAUGUUAAUUGAUUUGUCUUAACCUGUUACCAGCAAUAAAUAAACAAACUAGACCAGGGUCGUUUCAUUUAUGUGGAUAAUCUACAAUCUCCUUUCAGGAAAGUUACGGAACUAUUUAAGAAAGAGAAAGAAAAUAGAAGCAUUGACCCUUAUUCGCAAAGCAAAAUGUGUGUUGAACAUGUUUUCCUCUGUUGGUUCUACAGUAUAUCUGCUUCUAUAGCUGGACAUUUCUUUUAUGAGGUACAAUGGGAGGUUAAUGGAUCAAAUGAGCAGAUGGUAAUAUUCUGGAAAAUAAUGAUAAUUCUUACACCACUGCCAGGGUCUCAACCCUGCUGAGAAAUACGGUAACUCAGCAGUGGGGAAUUGUUCCUGGGGGUACACAGACAAUCUGUAGUGUUGCUUCCAUUAAGUGGCCAAAUGAUCACCUGCUACACAUACACAUACACACACACACACCACUUACACAAGAACAUAUUGUGUAAAAUACACUAUUAAAAACAAUUAUUCUAAAGAAUGACCAGGAAACAUAAAUUCUUCAAGUCAACAAAUGUCUAGGGUGUGUCAACUCCAUGCUGAGCAAUAUUGCAUAGCACUUCUCAAAUAUGUUAUGCUUAAAAUCUGAAGUUCAUAAAAUACUCUUGGGUAUUAUGUGGACAAUUAAAAACAUGUCCUGUGCUUAUUUGCUGUGCAUAAUAUAGCUACAUAGAAAAAUCAUUAUUUCACAAAUAUUGCUUAAGAUAAACUGAAAGUAGGUAUUUAAGUUUUUUAAAAAAGUGACUUGGGGGAAGAUUGGACAAGUUCAUUUAGAUGCAUUCCUUCCCAAAAGGCCAAUAAAAUGUUAGUAAAUAGAUGUUUUAAAAGAAAAGAACUGUGAGGACAAAACAAAGUACAGAGCGGACAAGACCGACGUAAUUUUGAUAGUGUGAAGUCAGAAGGACUAGGGUAAGCUUCCUUACCCAGUCCUGGCAAAGGUGAAUCUGGAGGCAGCACUGAGGAAGCUAAGAAGCAAGCCACUUUUCACUACAGAACUCCUGCAAGUUAGGAGUGAUAGUAUGGGAAUUUUUCGAAGAGACAGUGACAGUGGAAAAGAACUAAUGAAUGCAUUGUAAUUUUGCUCAAGAAGAAUUUGAUGUCUAGAUUCUUUCUUAUACUUUGCAUAGCCAGGCAACUGCUAAUGCUUCACUCCUGCAAAAGACUAGAGGAUUUGUGUCAAAAAGAAUAAAUAAAUAUAUGUAUGGGUAGUGAGGCAGAGAUACUUUAGUAAAAACAGAGAAUAAGUAAAAAUACACAUAUGAAUGUUGAGAUUGCAAAAGACUGGAAGAUUCUUCUUUGGUGAUUCUGACCAACCUAACUACGGGUAAUGAUCUUGGGGAGUCCCUAACAAAAUAGCCCAGCCAACAUACAUUUAAAAGUUAUCAUCUGCAUAUAAGUAUUUCCAAGCAUCUCUGGUACCACACUCAAGUUUGAGCAGAUAUGGAAGGAUAGCCAGAUACUGGAGGGAAAAAAACAGCAAUGUGCAGAACAGAAACCAAAACACACAUAUACACACAAAAUAAAUUUGUGGGAAACAGAGACGAUG